rnacentral:lncRNA from 1 species
CGGCAGCCAGUUCGCCCUCGCCAGCCAGGCGUGCGCCAUCCUCCCGCCCACCAGCCCGGAGCACCACCAUCAUGACGACGACGACGAUGAUGAUGAUGACGACGACGACGAGGAUGAUGAUGACGAGGACGAGGACGAGGACGAUGACGAGGACGAUAAGGGAGGCGGCGGAGGUGGCGGCGACAGCGGAGGCGGCGGCGACAAGGGGGGUGGCGGCGGUGGAGGCGGAGGUGGAGGUGGAGGCGGGGGUGGUGAUGAUAGUGGCGGCGGCGGCGGCGGUGGCAACGCGACGUCGCUGAUCACCGUCGACCCNN